rnacentral:lncRNA from 1 species
UUUUAAUUGGAUUUUGUAUUUAUCCUGUUUUGGCUUUAACUAAAGAAGUCACACAAGAAUACAGAUUCAAAUAUUUUGACUAGGAAGCACUUUAGCGUUUUCUUAGCUUCUAAAGUAAAAUCUAGUUUUUGCCAUGUCAUUAAUUCAGAUUUAAUAUUUGACAUAAAAUGCAUCCUAGAUUAAUUGGAGGAUACGGUUCUAUUCACUUUUGAGAGUAUGGAUUAGAUAAUAAAGCAUCUUGUAAAAAUAAGUGAAAAUGUAAAAGAUGUUUUAAACAGAUAUGUGGUAAACUAAGUUAGUCCUAAGAUGUAGGAAGAGCUGAUGAGCCCUAUUAAACACAGAAGGGGAUAGAACAUUAGCACACUAUUCAGCUCUCAGCUCUGAAGCAAACAAAAGAAUGGUUCAAAUGGGAAGGGCGAUGAUUCCUAAUGUUCUCUAGGCGCCUCAGCAUUGUUGAGGUACUUAGGCAAAGAAUCCUCACGCUGUACUAAAUAUUCACGAAGUGCAUCUAUUUAUGAAGUCUUACAUUUAGCAUUCCUUGAUGACAUGUCAUCUGACUCCAUGUAUCCUGUGCCAGUAACUAAUCAAACAGUGGAGCCCUGACCCUCGAGUCUGUAUCUAAUAAGCGGGAAGACGAACCAUGGAUAAGUGGUCCUAAGACACAGAAGUUAAAGGUAAUAAUGACUAGCGACUGUAGAUUUGAGGGGACAUCGGGUUCAGCAGUUCCCUGUUAGAUGAUACCACUUGUCUCAUGGAGCCUAAGGAAUGAGUCCUACUGUCUUCCCUUUAUAGACGGGUGCUCAGGGAUGUGACUGCAUCACAGCACAGAGCUUUGAACAGCAGUCAGUGCUGGAAACUGAACCAGACAUCUGUUUCAAAUUCCAGGUUUCCUGUCUAGCUUGGACUGGAGCCAAGGCCUGUGGUCAUGUAGGACAUCAAGGCAGAAAAAUGUGCCUCACAUCCGUUACUGAGUGUAGGAGAAAGUUGUGAGAGAAUGUGAAGGAAAGGCUCCACUCCACUUCAUUUUAUUAGUGCCACUGUAGAACAUUUGAAAGUGUCUGCAAAACAUAAUUCUUUACAUGAAUGGAUAAACAAACAAACAAAUAAAUAAUGGUCUAAAAAGUCAGAGAAAUCAGGUUUCAUAUACUCUUGGAUAUAAAUUCUAUUAGAAGACAGGAGUAGGUAAAAAGGGCUUUCUAGCCGUUAUAUGUCUCAGGUUAUGACCUCAGACUGAGACUCACAGAUACUAAUUUCAAAUCUUGGCAACUGAACAGGUUGUAAGCAGGACCCUUGACUUUACGAACAAAGAAAAAUUUUUGUGUGACAGGUAAUUUUCUGUACUCUUUUGAUGUGCAUUUGAUUCUCAUUAAUUGCCUUGAUGGAGGAAGGUCAAAGGCACAAGAAAGCCAACAGUAAUGUCUUAUUGACCUCAACAGAACAGGACGAGCAACAGUAUAAGUAGGGUCACACUUGCUUUUAAUGCAAGAUAUAACAUAAGUACCCAUGUGCCAAUGUUGCUAUAAAUAUGUGUUGUAUUUGUUUAUUGAUGCCUGGAGAAGAAAGAACAGAUUCCCCAUGUGAAGUUGCAUCCUUU